rnacentral:rRNA from 1 species
AUUGAACGCUGGCGGCAGGCCUAACACAUGCAAGUCGAACGAGUGGCGGACGGGUGAGUAAUGUCUGGGAAACUGCCCGAUGGAGGGGGAUAACUACUGGAAACGGUAGCUAAUCCCGCAUACCAUCGGAUGUGCCCCGAUGGGAUUAGCUGGUAGGUGGGGUAAUGGCUCACCUAGGCGACGAUCCCUAGCUGGUCUGAGAGGAUGACCAGCCAAACUGGAACGGAGACACGGUCCAGACUCCUACGGUAGGCAGCAGUGGGUAAUAUUGCACAAUGGGCUCAAGCCUGAUGCAGCCAUGCCGCGUGUAUGAAGAAGGCCUUCGGGGUGUAAAGUACUUUCAGCGGGGAGGCGUUACACGCAGAAGAAGCACCGGCUAACUCCGUGCCAGCAGACGCGGUAAUUC